AAAUAACAAUAUUCAGGUGCUGGUAAGUGCUUAACAACCAGCUCUUGGGGGUGAAUGCCACAUUCUUACCUUUAAUUGGCAUUAUUAACAUUUUCUCCGUCACUUUCUUAAGUCUGGACAGUAAGUCAAGCCCUGAUUAGUAUCAUUUGCCAACUUCUGAGGUGUAAGUGUUCACACUGAAAAUAUAAAAAUCAUCUCUUGAGAGCUAUGAAGACCUGGAACCUGCCUGCCCCUGAUGAACCUGGACCAGAAUUAUGAAGGCUAAAGAGACAGAAAUUGGUCGCAACAUGUACUCUUGGUUGCCACACCAAUCCGAGAAAAGAUGACAUGAUUAUAUAGUCCCAACUUCAUCCUGACCUGACCCACCAAGGAGAUUAGAUAGAUGGAAUUUGCCAUGCUUGUUCUCACUCUAAACCCUGUAGAUGUUCCCAGGUUACUAAAUUAAACAAAGCUUUGAGUUGUUUGGACUGCUCCUUUGACUAAUAUUCUUCAGAGUUUCUGUUGACUUUUUCAUCUGUAUUUUACUAAGAUUCUGUCUCCAGCCUCCAAUACUAUAACUAUACCUUGCCUAAAUCAUACAGACUCAGUCUUUACCUCUGCCCUUCUAGAUGAUAUUUUAAUGAUUUGCUGUUGAUCAUCAACAACAUACUAUGGAUGACCUUUGCCUCCACCCCCUUCAGUCCCUGUGGAAUAAUAAAGUGGAGGAAUUCCAUGGAGACUGGAACAACCUCCAGGAAGUGAUGCAGAGUGAGAGGAGCAGAACCAGGAGAAUAUUGUACACAGAGACUUACACAUUGUGGUACAAGAGAACGUAAUGGACUUCUCCAGUAAUGGCUUUACAAUGUCCCUGAACAGCCUGAAGCAAUCUACGUGAUUAAAAAAAAAAAAGAAACUAAACUAUCCUCAAGCAGAGGACAAACUGAGGGAGUAAAAACACCGAGGAAAAACAACUGCUUGACUACAGAGGUUGAGGGGACAUGAUCGAGGAGAGAUGCUAAAUGAACGCCCUAAUGCAAAUACCAACAAUAAGGAAAUGGGUUCAGAGCAAGGACACAUGUGAUACCCAGACGAAUUGCGCAUUGGCUAGGGAGGGGGUGAGGUGUUUGAGGGGAAGGAAAAGAAAAUGAUCUGUUUCCAAUGAACAAUGUAUGAAAAUGACCAAAUAAAAUAAUGUUUAAAAAAAAAAAAGAGGAGAGA
rnacentral:lncRNA from 1 species